CCAGGGAGUAUUUAAGAAAAAACUAAUGUAUCCACAGUACCAGUAAAUGUGAGGAAUAUAUCAAAAUAAUACCAAUAAAGAUACAGCAAAAAUACUCUAUUGCCAAACCAGUAAAUAAAAGCUUUAUGGCAGUUUAACACAGUCAACAUACUGUACUCCCUGUUUACCAUAGUUGCUAUGGUCGGUUCCCUACCAACACACCACCACCAGCCAUCCUCCAGCUCCCCCACUGAGCCAGCUAACUCGUGCAUGGCUUGGAUAUCGCUACUCCUGUUGGCAUGGAACGCUGUGGCAACAGCUGCAUCCCCAGCAAACAUCAUCAAAUCCAAAGCUUUAGUUGCCCCACUGAGCAAAGUACUUAUAGUGGAAGAUGUCGUAACUGUCAAGUACCAGCACCAAAGUUUAGUGAUAUAUGCCUGAGGUCAAUAGCUGUCCACAUUGAAACAGCUAUAAGUACACAAGAUCUCAAACAACAGUCUACCAUCUCACUUCAUAACGCCUAUAUGAAGCGUCUACUCAAAUGUGUAUGCACUUGGAGGGAAAGCUGCCCACGACUCCUGAAGACGUCAGGAACAAUGUGCAUUCUCAUAAAAACCGUGGUCUAUUUAAUUUUGUCGAGUUAUUAAGUAACACCCUAUUUGGUACGGCAACUGCAGAAGAUGUAGCUAAACUAGGGAAACGAAUGAACGCAGUUUCAGAAGCAGUCAUGAAACAGAAUAGGGCCAUUGCACAGUCUUAAACAGCAGUAAAAAAAGUAAUCAACUAACAUGCAUGCAACUGAAGCCUCUGUGCAAGCUUUCACUGUUACCAAUGAUCGGCUCAUAGCCGAUUCAGUGAAUGCAGGUCUAGUCAUGUAGAUGCACAACUAUUGCCGGUUGGUCAAUUUAUUGCCGCUUUACAUAUAGCUCACGGUCGCUACCUAAUGAUACUGGACACAGAAAUAGUCCAGGUAUGAAUCCCUGGGAAGGAUCUCAUUUACCUAACAAGAGUAGUGUGCACCUUGGUGCUAACAAUCAGCUGCAGUACCUGUGUAUAUUAUUAUUAGUAGUUUAUAUAUGCACAAAAAUGAAGGUCAGAUUUGAGUCAAACACCAAAAGUACACACGAAAGAAAACUUAUUCUUAUACCAAAAAUGCCAACCCACCAAACUUAACCUAACUUAUAGGGAAAUGAAGAGAAAACACGGGCUUAGUGAGGAGUAUAACCUCAGGUAAACAUGGCCUGCGGACAGUCAAUGGAUUAACCUUCCUUUUGUCAGAAAGUAAAAAUUCACCUAGGAAUCUUUUUCUUGUGUAAUAAACAACAGAAAUAUGGUUAGUUAUCAUGACUUUUGUUAUAGAGGAUAAUAAAUAACACGAUACAGUAUGUCCACCUGUGCUUGACGACUCCACUACCUGUGCUUGAUGACCCCACACCUGUGUUGACGACGACCCAACAUAAUCUACUAAAUUAACCAUUAAAUUCGUUUUAUCUCGCCACAAUAUUAUAUAUAAUAAGCACUUGGCAUUAUAAUUAUUAUAUAUCUGAUAUAAUAUUGUUAUUAAAUGUCUUACCAAGGGCUCAGCCAGUUGUUUCCUGGACUGUCAAAUCGUUCUUUACACUCCAAGUCCGCCAUGUUUGCUUCACUAGGUACGAGGCUUGGCACUCUUGGCCUCACGCACCUAAAACAAAAAUAACAAAAGUUUAUAAUUUAUUUAAUCUGUACAUUAAUGUAUAAUAGAAUGUGUUUGCAUUAAGAUAGAAUAAAAAAAUAUGUUUCUA
rnacentral:lncRNA from 1 species